rnacentral:lncRNA from 1 species
GGCAGCAUCCAAAUCAUGCAAGGUCUUCAAUGUCUCUGCUUCUGUUCUCAGGAAAAGAGCUUGAACUCAUAAACAUGCUGCAGAAGGGAGCAGAGGCUGCUCGGUUAAAGACACAGGUCCUGUAUCUUUCCUUAUCUUGGUGCCUUAGUGGUGUUGGAAGAUACCUUUGAAAGCUCAUUUCAAUUAUUUGAAGUUGUAGGAGCUUGUGAGUGAUGACUUGCAAAACGACAGGGAAGCCCAUUAGGAGGAAGUCUGAGCUUCCAGCCCAUCUGAAGACCAUCACUAGAUACCUGUGACAAAGUGAGAAAGCAGCUAUUUGCAGUCAGAAAAAGAUCCUUCAUUCAGGAAUUGAAAUGACCAGCAACUUGAUCUAAAACUUCCCAUCCUCAAGUACGGCACACUCCUGCCAUUGUGGUGCCAUCCGCUGUGACACUCUUACAGCAGGGUGACUGUGGGAGUGACUGGAUCUUCAACCUUCAGCCCCCAAAACUGUGAGCUAAAUAAACCCCUUCUCCUCAUAAAGUACCCAACCUCAGGUAUUUUUUUUUUUAAAGCAACAUAAAAUGGGCUAAUGGAGCAAUAUGAGGACAUUGGUUUACAAGCACUUAGGAAUACCUUAUAUGAAAGAGCUGCAGCCUUCAGUUUGUCUUUACAAAGGAUGGAUAUGUCUUUUCAAUUAACAGCUUGAAAAAGUCUGGAAUUAUUUCUUACCUCACAGCUGUCCUGUAAAGUAAUUUCCUUAUUUCUCUCAAGUUGAAAGAAAUGUCUACUGCUUCCUAUUAACUAGCUCAGGGAUUUUCAAAUUAGGUGAAUUUCACAAUUUGUGUGUUAACUGGGGGGAUCGGAGGUGGACUUCGUCAAUUUCCUAUGCCUAGAUUCCCCUAAGUCCACAGAAUCAGAAUUUUUAGCUGUGAUGUCCAAAUUAAGUCAGUUGAAAACCACUCCAUGUGCUUCUGAUGCAUAUCAAACUUGACAUCCAUGGGACCACAUUCUCUUUGACUGAUAAAAAUGUUCAAGCUUAGUAGCUAGGAAGAGCUUUCUGUAGGUAGUAUUAUCAUUUAAAAUGAACAGAUUUAACUUUUACAAAUGGACAUCCUUUUAAGAGGUUUGGGGCCGGUGGAUUUGAGGGGAGCUCUUAGAAUAUGUGUUGGGCUACCCUUACCUCUUCAUUGUCUGCAUUUCCCCCUCUGCCAUGGCCUGCUUGGUUUCCCAGUCUGUCUGCCCCUCUGGGUUAAAUGGAAAAAUUGACAUCUCACAUUUAAGGGAAUUUAUUGCAAAUUAAUGCAGUAGAGAUUUAUAUUUUCAUGUGAAAUAUCCUUUUAAUAGAGUAAAUAAUUGUUCCUCCCUCCAAUAUAUUUGUCUCAUUACUCUGGAUGCUCUAUAAUAGGAUUAUCUGUUAUAAACAUACACUUACAGAUCCAAAUAUAUGCACAGAUGAAAAAUAUCAAGCUUACAGGACAAGGUCAUCCCCCAAGCAUGGACACUCAAGGCCUUUUGGCUCUAUUUUCUCUAAGGAAAACUAAAGUCACAGUUGAACAAGGGAGCUUCCCUUGUCUCCUAGUUUCCACCAAGUGCUGGCUCUGACUCUGUUCUUUUGAUUUUUUUAGCGGCCUUCAGAGAAUUCUCAUGGAGGAGAGAAGGAAGUGGAUUGAAGAUGGGGUCGAGUUUCUAUCUGCUGUUUGACCCACGGAUUGCUGGAUAGACAUGACAUAUAGAAAACAGCUUGAUUCAUCCCACAGAAGUAGCAGAGAGUCCCAGGACCCAGCCUGCCCCACAGCAUCCCAGAGGGAUUUAUUCUCUUCUGAAGUUUGCAGAAGAAAUUGUUUUAUGAAUCAAUUUAAGACUAAUAAAUACAUAGAGUUCUAUUCCAAACAUAUUUUUUUUAAUUAUAAAAGAAGUACAUACCUCUUAAAAGGAUUAUGGGAGAAAGAGGAAUGUAGGAAAAAAAUAAGACAGAAAGUACAGGUAAGAGUGCUGAUUUUAGAAUCAGGGCCAUACGGACUAGAAUCAGCCUUACUUGCUGUAUACACUUGGGUGAGUUACUUCACAUUGCUGAGUGCAUUCUUCUCAUCUGCAAAAUGGGAACAACCUCUCUGUCUGUCAUGUGGUAAGGGUUUGCUAAAGUGUAUUUUGUAAAAGCACUUAGAAAAAUUCUUGGUAUAGAAUAGUGUUACCAUAAUACAGGUGAGGUAAGUGUUUUUACUGCUGGUAGGAUAGCUACUGACUACAUCCUUUCCAGGCAAAUGGGACUGACUUUGAACCCCUUUUGGUUUGGGGGAGAAUUACUGGUAUUGGUAUUCCUAGCAUUAAGGCCACAUAAUAUUUGAAGAACUGGUUGCAAUCUCUUAAAAGUGUUAUUACCAAGAAAUAGAUUUUGGUUAUGUCUGUUUUCAUGGUACAGUAACCGAAACCCCUUAGUUUUUGUCUUAAGCUUAUAAACAUAUUUUAGUUUGUAAAAAGUGAUAAAAAAAAUACCCUGAGAAACAAUUAAAGUUCAUAGGAAAAUAAGAAAUCUUCACAGUAAUGUUUCAUUGAAUCAUCACAUUUUUUUUUCCUGAAAUACCAAUGAAGAAUGGCAGUUUUGAUAUGUAAAACAGUAGUUAGUCUUUAUGUGGAUAACACUUUUAAAAGCCUAGAAAUAUUUCACAUUUGAAGAAAAACACUUGUUUCCCGUGUUGAAUCUGAUUAAAAUUCAAAUCUAUCUUAGCAUCUCAUUACUAUUUGAAAAAAGCAACCUUCACGCUUAAGGAGAACGGCUCGGAGUCCACAGGUCCGGUGGCUGCAGGCUCUGCCUCUGGCUGUCACUGUGCUGGGACCCCAGAGGACAGGGCCACAGCUACAUCCUUGUUAAAACAGUCAUGGCGGGAAGACUGGCCCCGAGUUUCCUGCCUUUCCCCUCUCCCAUCCCGACAUUGUUUCAGCUGCCAGAUCCUCAAUAUUUUCUCUCCAGCAAGGGAAAGGGAAGGGCAAAAAUGACUUUGAAAGAAUAACAUUUCUUUCUAUGGACUUAAAUAGAACACUCAACACAAAACAUCCUGUGCUUCCUUUUCAUGGAUAACGUGCUGCUUGUCGCCGUGAGUGAACUAAAAAGCAGGGCUGGGUGUUGAGAGAGUUGGUGUUGGAGCUGCCAGCUGGGCGGUGAAGAAAACGCCCCUUGGGUAUUUUAAGAGAAAAAAAUUCAUGUACCCUCCUUUGGAAUAUUGGUCUCCAACACAACUAAGUCCAUGGUCCAGGACGGUCCUCCAUGAACCAGUUUGAUCCACGGACCGCUUAAGAUCCGCAACAAGAUGGCAACAUCUGGGGGCCCAUCAGGUGGGAGUGCCAAGCAUGUCCUGAGAUUGCAAGUGACCUGGGAAGGUUGAUGAGCAAGCACAUCAAUAACGUCAUGCAAAUGGAUUUUCUAUGCAGAUGAAUGGAAGAGCUACAGUUCACUGAUCAGCUAAUACAGUUAAUUGGUUCCAAACACUCAAGCCUGCCAGAAAAAACAGACAAACUCUCAAGAACAACAAUGCCUAUUAUGUGUGCAGUAGGAGCUGCCAGAUUUUGAUUACUGGCCAGACAUUAACCCCUUUGAUGUCCUAUGGAAGAGAUGCCAAGUCUGAAUCCAGAUAUUUCCAGAAUUCUGCGGUCGUGUGUGAUUUAUAGAGACCCGCAAAACAAGUCCACUGGGAGGAGGAAGUGCACGUCAAGGGCCAUAUCUCCUCUUUGCUGAAUUCUGCCGUGUCUCCUGCUGACCAGUGGACAGAACACGACUCUGUCCCUCCUUGGGCCUGACUUGUGGUGAGGGGCAUAUUGCUCGUGCCCCACGUGUGGUGGUGUCUUCAUGUCAAGCUGGUGUCAGAUUCUGUCAGAGGAAAGCCUGUGGGUUCCAUGAGGCUGCCAUCUCCAGUAACGCUGCCGGAAAGAAGAAUUCCUGAACACUAAUCAGUGUCUUCCCCACUCUCACACAGCCCUGUAGGUAACAAAAAGAGAUGCUCAAUGAAGGAGGUGAAUUCUAAGUUUGAUGAUUAAAGAUAAAGGGGCUGGCAUCAUCCUCCAUCGAGUCAGUUGGUUGACUGUCACCUCUGCCCCUGUGCCGAGGGGCACCAAGAUGCAGAGCCGGCUGGAGCUGGCUGCUUCACUGGAAUCCACAGUAUGGAGUGGCUGGGGGUGGCCACACGAGCCGCUGCCCCUCCUGUUGGGCUGCACCAAAGAUCUUGCAAGCCAAAAUGAUCAGAAGAGGAUGGAGUUCUGAAACCAUACUUAAGUCAGGUUCAGGUCCAUAAUUUCUUCACCUCACAUCAGCUCCUAAAAAGGAUUGUAUUCUCCUAGUAAAUGAAAAAUAAGGGGGAAACAGAGGCUCUUUGAGUUUUCUGGUGAUUGGAAGGAGGGUGUGGAUAUUUAUUCAGAGUUUAUUUAUAUUGUUUGUCUUACAGUCUUAGUAUACCACCGACAAAUAACCAACUCCCUUCCAAAUCAACGAGAAAGCUGAAGGCUGAGUUAUUGGCAGUUUUUAUUUAAUUAAACUGUUUUGCAUUUCAGUAUCAAUAUUUUGAAUUUUAUACCAAGUCUCUCAGUCUCCCAACAGGCCCACAGUGAACUGGAGACAGCACACAUGGGGACACAUGGUAAGGAUGGAGCUGAAAGCGGAGGGGUGACACCCGACGCUUGCCCUUCCCAGACCUGCUGAACUUUCAUGUGGCAGCGGCAGGUCAGAUGUUGCCAAUAUUUAGAACACGCUUUUAAAUAUUCUAAUCGGUCUCCAAGUUCGACCUUUCCCCUUCCUUUCUCCCUUCUCCACAUCUCUGCUUAACUGCCCACAGUGCAAACACUGCACCAACGAAGCCCGGUCAGAUGCCAGACAGGGCUGUCUCAGGCUCUAAAAUUACCCACCCAAUGUGCCAUUGAUUAAAACCAUCCCUUGGAGUCCUUCCAGAAGCCCGACUCGGAGAGCUAGAAAGAAGUAUGUGAUUCUCUUUAUAGACUGACAUGUAAAUUAUGAAUUUGACUUUUAAUGAAAGGCAUUUUAAUAUUUUAUUUCACAGUCUGGUAAGAAAUAACUUCAGAAUGGGAAGUAGGUAUGGCUCCCUUCCAUGCCAGGCACCAUUCACCAGUCUCUGCCCUCCCUGUCUUGGGUCUGGGCCUGCUCUCAGAGCAAUAUGGCGCUCCAAGUCACCACUGCCCAUUGGUCAGAGUAGCCCUGCAAAUUGGCAUCUUUGUACUCUAUGGUGUUCUGUUUAACUUACUACAUAUACAGUAGCAGAAAACCAAGGCAUGAUAUACCUUACAAAUAACAUAUUUAAAAUUAACGGGAGCACUGAAUUUGCAUAAAUGAGAAUGUAUAGUCAUCUUUGCUUAGGGAAACCAGUCUUAAAAUGUACUUUUUAGUUAAAACCUAUGCAUUAGAACAGAUUUUAGUGAAAAUUUUAAUGUUGAGCGUUCUCAUUGUAUGGAUUUCAGAAAAUGUAAUCUGACUAGAUUUGGAGUUUGGCAAAGGCAAUGGGUUGCUCUAACUUACAAAAAGGAUUUUUAUUUAAAAGCCUGGGGGAUGUGUGGAGAAAGACAUGAGGUAUAAAUUGAGUCAGUUCUUUCCCUCCUAUGCCCCACCCACAAAUAAAACAGUUGCAUUUAAUAUUUAUGGCCAUAAAAUAUGCCUUGCAUAUGGGGAGAGUCUUCACUCAUGGGUUUUAUUUGUGUCAAAUUAUAUUUUGAGGUUUUUCUGAAGAAGGCAGAAAUGGGAAAAUUGAAAUGGAUUUUGAAGUCAAAGCUCUCUUUGUAAUCCUUGGUCGUGUCAGUGGUACUUGCCUGAAGAAAUCUGGGAAAAUAAUUUACCAUCUCAGAGUCUUGGUUUCCUCAGGAAAACGGCUGGCAGCAAUAAAAAAGAUACUUCCUGGGAUCAAAUCAUCGGACUUGCUGCCAUCGGGACUGUCUUCAAGGCUCCCUGUCACUUACAAAGGAAUUGAGCAUUCCUGGAUGACCCAGCCUUGACACCUGUCUUCAGUUCCCCGAAUGCUGAUGCUAGGCUCCAGCUUGUUGUUGACAUAGAUUAAUAGAUAAUGGUUAAGCUAAUGGAACUAUUGUUUUAGUGCUUUUGGACUUUGAGUUUUUGAUUCUUAAAACACAGGAGAAAAUUGAAUUGAGAAGUGCUGCAAUGAGCAUUUUCUUUUGCCUUUUCUUCAGUAUAGCCUUCUCUCUUCUCUCACUGCAUGAUGGGAAUGGAAAACAUUAAUCCCCAUGCUGAUGGAAAAUGGCAUCUUGGAGUACUGCUGCCCCUCAGAAUACUGCUUGGAUUUACAUCUUCCUACAGCAAAGAAGCAACUGAUUUAGACAGUAUCAAUUUAUUUUUAUUUUAUUUUAAGAACUUUCUCAAAUGGGAAGGGGAUCAAGACAUGGAGGGAGGGAAAGGGAAGAAAGAGAAGGGAUAAAAAAGGAACUAAGAUGUGUUAUUUAUGUGCAUGUACCAGUCCCACACAAAGAAUGUAAACAUUUUGGACUGCAAACACGUAUGGAUAAAACAAAACAAAACAAAAAACCAGAUUGAAACAAAAUAAAUAAAUGUUUACUAUUUACAAAGUGUACAUAUCCAAGUAACUACUCCCUCAUGGCCUCCAAAACCAUUAGCUAAGCAUAAAAAUAGCAAUAGAAAUUUGAUUUGAAGGUCUGAGUCUAUGUGGAAAAUCCUGUUACAAAUUCAGGAGAGGCAGAGGUCAAACAUUCAGAACAGGUGGUAAACUGUCAUUACAUCCUGCCCAGAGGACAGCACAACUCUGCAUCUUGAAAACAUUGUGCUCAGCUGCCCAGGUCUUUUUGAUAACCCCAAACUUGCCAAGUAAUUUCUGCAUCAAGGCAAGUCGAUUUCCCGCUCUUCUUUUCCCUGGAAUUCUUUCCACUCAGCUAUUUCUCGGCAUAACUUCUUCUCAUUUCUUUUUCUGGCUUCUGUUCAAAUACCAUUUUAGUAAGUCAGCUACCUCUGAGCACCUAUAUAAAAUAGCAUCUUCCUGUCAUCCCCAGCCAUACUCUUUCCCCCUUACUCUGUUAAUGUUUUUGGAAUGGAUCUCCACCUGCCAUGUUAUGAGCGUGUUGGUUUGUUGAUUUGCAAUCUCCGCCCUCUAAAAUGCAUUUCUUUGGCUUUCUGCUGAAGUCUAAGAGUCUAGAUCAGCACUUGCCCCUUCACAGACACCAAGUAAUAUUUGAGGCACAAAUGAAUGAAUGCAGCCGGAAGCGCCCACCCUUAGUUCUAGGUCGGACAUGUCCUUAAUUAAUAGACGUUUAUGGAGUGCCAUUUUCUGAUCACCUUUUAUAUAAUAUCCUUUUCUCUUUAUAAGCAUCUUAUAAUAUGACUUUUAUCCCCAAUUGAGAGUUGAGGAAACAGCUCAGAGAGCUCUAAGGAAGUGGACAAGGGCAUGGUUAUGACGGGAGAAGCCAUGCCAUUGAGUCGCAUUGAAAGCUGAGAUUUAUGCCACUGAACUGGGCUACCUCCCACAGUAAGAGCAAAACAGUGGAAUGUUGCACUAAUUACUAAGCAAAGAUCAGCUUAAUGAGCACUAGCUAAUUGCUAGUUUAGCUAACUAGCUAACUAAUUAAGACCUGACUGUGAAUUCUACCAUUGCCCCUGAAAAGGACAAGGAAUCAAGCCAGUUCUUUCUCACUCUCUUUUAAAAACUGAGUAUAUUUGGUAUAAUUUAUAUAUAAUAAAGUACACUAAUCUUUAUUGUUUGAAUAAAUGAAGACACAUUUAUAAACUAUUUUAUAAAAGAUAUAAAAUAUUUCCAUUACCCCAAAAGAUUAUUGCUUACAAUAUCACAGACAUAUCCCCAAGCCUGGGGCUACUAUGACAGAUCUCUGUAGGUCAGCAUAUAUUUUCUAGAACUUUCUAUAAAUAGAAUCUGCAUCGCUCUGCCAAGCAUUAAUGCUUUUGAGAUUCAUUUACAUUCUUGUGUGUUCCUGCAGUUCACUGGUUUUUAUUGCUGGCAUACGUUCCAUUGUAUGAAAUUUAUUUAUAUAUUCUCCUGUUGAUGUACAGUUGAUUGUUUCCAGUUAGAG